UGACAUCCAGAAGCCUCCAAGCAGCAGGGCCUCACCACAGCUCCUGCCUGGAGCCCCCAGCUCUGCUUCCCUACAGACCCAGGCAGGGGGAAUAAACCCUGAUGGAUGUGUUUGAGAAGUGAGACAGAGCUCUGAGUGCCCAGCACUGACCUUUGGUGUCUCACUGUCCCCAUUGUCACCUCAGGGGCUUUGUCCCGCCCAGUGCAGGGGUGGAGUGUGCAGGUGAAGCACCAGGAAUUAGGAUUUUGGUCCUUCCUGUCCAUCUUCCCCGGGAUUUUCAUGGAUGGUGUCUCCAGGGCUGUCACAGCAGGUAGAGGUGGCUCAGGCUGAGCCUCAAGCCCAGAUGGUCAGGGGCAAAUGUUGGCUGAGCACUGGCAGAGUGGAGCCCUCCUGGGGGAGGCAGGAAUGGGAGCUGUGUCUCACCCUGAGGCACAAUCCCCUGGCUGGGAUGGAUCCAGGAAAACCAGCUCCAACAGCACCUGACUGCCAGCCUCGGGCUGCCCGUGGAGCUGCAAUCCAGAGGGAAAGGGGAGCAGGAUGCUUUGUCACAAGCCUUGGAAGGAUGAACCUGGACCAGGAGCUUUGGAUGGUUCAGGAAGGAAAAAAAGAACAACAUAAGAAUAUUCCUGACAGGAAUUGGCCCAAGAGGUCCUUGUGAGGGCUUUGGCCACCCCCAAACCCCACAGGACUCCUCGUGGGUUCCCUUGGCAACAGCGAAGCCAACACGGGGAUAACAGCCUGGGAACACAAAGGCAGCACUGACACCCUUCCCCUCAGCAGCCAAGGACAAGAGCUGGUGACAGUGACCUUGGGACAGGCCAGCUCCAUGGGAAGGUGUCCCCAGCCAACCCUUCAGCACCCCAGUCUAAUUUCUUCCUUUGUGGAAAAACUCCACCUGCAAGGCACAGGCUGGAUCCCAGAUCCUACAACACCUCAGAGCAAGGGCUCUUCGUCAUCUUUAGUCCACGAGGCACAUCAGCACUUUGGUUUGUGAUUUCCCAGUGGGAAUGAAAGCUGGACACACAUGGGAAGCACAUCUAUGACUUUACUACGGCUGCUGCCACAGGACAGAAACAGGGAGCUGGUGGAAGAGAGCCUGGAUUUUAAAUCAUGGAAUCACAGACUGGCUUGGGCUGGAAGGAGCUUAAAACUCAUCUCAUUCCACCCCUUGCCAUGGGCAAGGACACCUUCCACUAGCCCAGGUUGCUCCAACCCCCAUCCAACCUGGAUCCUAUGAGGAUUGGCCAUCAUUCCCUGCCCAUUGGCAGGGAGUUGGAACUGGAUGAGCUUUAAGGUCCCUUCCAACCCAGACCUUCUGGGAUUCCAUGGUUUUAAUUCCACCUCUGAAGAUGUGCCCCUCUGGGAGAGACUCUUCUGCUACUUUUCUACUCUUGAAACAUAAACAGCAUUUCAUUACACGAUUAAUAAACCCGUGGACAAACCAACAUUAUUGCAACAGAAAUAAAUAAAAAUUUAACUGAA